GGGCCCAUUAGACACAGGAUCGGCUCUGCAUAUAAUUACAAGCUCCGGAGAGCCCGUUUCAUGGAAUAUCCCAACGAGCUUCUCACCAUGGCUGUUCUGUAUUACCAGCUUCGUUUGUUCAGCCACUGCCCAAUAAAUUACAAAAUUUACAGAAAACAAAACAAAAAAAUAGAAAAAGGAAUCAAACACGGAAUGCUAGUUAUUAAAUUGACAACUUGUACAGAAACCAAAAAUGAGGUUAGAAACAAAUAUAUGUUUUUCAAUAAAAAGGUAUUCAUUCUUCACCUCUUUUUCUAGUCUACUAAUAGCUGCAAGCAAUAACACAAUUGCAUAGUAACAUGAUGGCAAUUUAUAUCCAAAAAUACAUAAGAAGGUCUACCAUUUUCAGCUUUCGGAAAAACAAAUUACUCGAAAUAAUCGAUAGAAAAUUAUAAAAGAAUAAAAAACAAAGAAACACAAAACAUAUAUAAAAAAAGGACACAAUCUUGGACUUUUUGAAUGGAAAACUCAUAGGUCCAUAACUCACAAAAAAAUCAAUAUGAUCAUCCUAGGAUUCAUAAACAAUUAUGGGAUUUCUUUUUUCUUCGUUUUUUCCCCCUAAAUCUUGAAAUAGAAGCAGUAAUAUUCAAGCGUUUUGAAAUUCUGAAAAAGUAACUCUGGCAUGCGUUGCUAAGCACUCACCCGAACUGGAAUUUGAAGUCCGAACCAUUUGAUAUGUGGGAUUCUUCAACGCAUACGAAUUACAAUGGCAGUGCUUGCAGGUCAGUAAUCCUGUUUCCGUGCACUAAAAUCGCGUUCAAUCAAUGAAGAAUUUAUUUGGGUCUAUCAUGGAAAUAAAAAGAUAAAUCUGAAUUUCUUUGAGGAUUCUCAAAAUGGGUGGAUAAGCCCUGAUCCAC
rnacentral:lncRNA from 1 species